UACAGAGGGUGCGAGCGUUAAUCGGAAUUACUGGGCGUAAAGCGUGCGUAGACGGUUAUUUAAGUCGGGUGUGAAAGCCCCGGGCUCAACCUGGGAAUUGCAUUCGAGACUGAAUAGCUAGGGUACGGUAGAGGGAAGUGGAAUUUCCGGUGUAGCGGUGAAAUGCGUAGAUAUCGGAAGGAACAUCAGUGGCGAAAGCGACUUCCUGGACCAGUACCGACGUUCAGGCACGAAAGCCGUGGGGGAGCAAACAGGA
rnacentral:rRNA from 1 species